AUGACUAACACACAAGAAGCUGAAGUAACAGGAGAGGAGAGUAUCCGCGUGGAUCGCUGUGGCGGCAGCGAGUUGAACUUUAGGAGAGCGGUGUUUUCUGCGGAUUCUAAAUACAUCUUCUGUGUUUCUGGAGAUUUUGUUAAAGUAUACAGCACAGUUACGGAAGAAUGUGUGCAUAUACUGCAUGGACACAGCCAAUUGGUGACUGGAAUCCAGCUCAACCCCAACAACCAUCUACAGGUGUCAAACUUUGAGCUGAACUUGUUUGUUGUAUUCUUGUUCCUUGGAUGGUACAAUUAAGCUAUGGGACUACAUAGAUGGUAUUUUGAUAAAGACUUACACAGUUGGGCAUAAACUUCAUGCGCUUUUUACUGGUAGCCAUGCUGAAGAGUCUGUCUUCGUUACAAUAAGUAAAGAAAGCCCAGAUGUUUUUCAGCUGGUUUCAGUGAAGCUGCCCAAAUCAUCAGGUCAAGAAAUAGAAGCUAAGGAGGUAUCCUUUGUUUUGGAUUAUAUAAACCAGUCACCCAAGUGCAUUGCUUUUGGAAAUGAGGGACAGUAUGUGGCAGCAGUACGGGACUUCUACUUGUCUGUUUAUUUUUUCAAAAAGAAAACAACAUCAAGGUUUACUUUAUCAUCAUCAAAAAAUAAGAAGAAUUCUAAGAAUGAAUUCACGUGUGUAGCAUGCCACCCAAGAGAAGACUGCAUAGCCACUGGUCACAUGGAUGGCAAAAUUCGUCUCUGGAGGAAUUUUCAUGAUGAUAAGAAAUACACAUAUACUUGUUUACAUUGGCAUCAUGAUGUGGUUAUGGAUUUGGCUUUUUCAGUAACAGGCAACAGUUUGCUGAGCGGUGGGCGUGAGUCUGUACUGGUGGAAUGGCGAGAUAUAACAGAGAAGAAUAAAGAGUUUCUACCCAGUUUGGGAGCAACAAUUGAACAUAUUUCAGCCUCACCUGCAGGGGAUUUGUUCUGUACUUCUCAUUCUGACAAUAAGAUAAUAGUCAUUCACCGAAACCUUGAGGCCUCUGCAGUGAUCCAAGGCCUAGUGAAAGACAGGAAUAUCCUUACUGGUUUGAUGAUUGAUCCAAGAACUAGAGCUCUGGUUUUGAAUGGAAAACCUGGCAACCUGCAGUUUUAUUCUCUCCAGAGUGAUAAGCAGCUGUAUAAUUUAGAUAUUAUACAGCAAGAAUACAUCAAUGAGAACCAUUUGAUCCAAAUUGAGCUAACAAAGGCUGCAUUUAGCCUCAAUGGCAACUGGCUUGCAACAGUGGAAGAACGCCAAGAAAAGGCAACAGAGCUUGAAUUGCAUAUGAAACUGUGGUCAUAUAAUAAGAAGACACAAGGGUUUGUUCUCAACACAAAAGUCAGCAUGCCACAUGACGACCACAUCACAGCUCUCUGUUUCUGCAAUGCAGGAAAAUCGGAAAACCCUACCUUAGUCACAACUAGUAAAGAUGGCUACUUCAAAGUGUGGAUAUUAACAGAUGACUCUGAUAUAUAUAAAAAGGCUGUUGGCUGGACCUGUGACUUUGUUGGUAGUUACCACAAAUACCAAGCAACUAACUGUUGUUUCUCGGAAGACGGCUCUUUACUUGCAAUUAGUUUUGAGGAAAUAGUCACAAUAUGGGAUUCAGAGACAUGGGAGCUAAAGUGUACAUUUUGCCAACGAGCUGGGAAAAUAAGGCACCUUUGCUUUGGGCGACUGAUGUGCUCUAAGUAUCUUCUUGGUGCUACAGAAAACGACCUCCUUUGCUGUUGGAAUCUGCUCAGUUGUACACUGGAAUGGAGUACAAAACUGGAUGUUAGAGUCAUGGAGCCUGAUCCGAAUUCAGAGAACAUUGCCGCUGUCUCUUGGUCUUCAGUGGGUUCAGACUUGUUUGUAUUUAAACCUAGUGAGCCAAGGCCACUGUAUAUUCAGAAGACUAUCUCCAGAGAGGAAGUCCUCUGGGGCGUGUUCGUGCCACGAGAUGUCCCAGAAUCGUACAACUCAGGAGCUUACCGGUGGCUGAACAGAUCCCAGUUUUACUUCCUCACAAGAUCACAGACUUUAUUGACAUUCAGUGCAAAGUCUCCAGAAGAGAAACUCACACCAACAAGCAAGCAGCUGCUUGCAGAAGAUAGUCUUCCAGCAACCCCAUUUUAUUUCAUUUUGGGAAAACACAGGCAACCGCAGGAUGAAAAAUUAAAUGAUACUUUGGGAAAUGAGUUGAUACAACUACCAUUAACAGAAAACAUACCUGCAAUUAGUGAGCUUCUUCAUACUCCAGCCCAUGUACUACCAUCUGCUUCUUUUCUGUGCUCCAUGUUUGUAAAUUCAUUGCUGCUAUCUAAGGAGACUAAGAGAGCUGAAGAAAUUCCUGAUGAUGUAGAUAUGGAAGAAGAAAAAGAAAAUGACAGUUCAGAUGAAGAAAAUGAUUUUACUGAAAAUAUCCAGGAUACAAACAACAUAGAUUUGGGAGAAGAUAUAAAUCAGUUGUCAAAAUCUGAAGAAAAAGAACUGAGAAAAUUAAGGAAAAUCGACUAUAGUUGGAACAGAGCUUUAAGCAGUGCUGCUGAGUCUUGCACUUUUGGGUAUAUUUGGUUGUAUGUUGGUACUUCCAAAUAAUCUUUUGUA